rnacentral:rRNA from 1 species
CACGCUGUAAACGUUGGGAACUAGGUGUUGCGGUCUGAUCAAUGACUGCGGUGCCGAAGCUAACGCAUUAAGUUCCCCGCCUGGGGAGUACGGCCGCAAGGCUAAAACUCAAAGGAAUUGACGGGUCCCCGCACAAGCGGCGGAGCAUGCGGCUUAAUUCGAUGCAACCCGAAGAACCUUACCUGGCCUUGACAUUAUGGGUCUAUCCCCCGAAAAGGGGAGUGCUUCGGCGCUCAUAACAG